rnacentral:rRNA from 1 species
GAUGAACGCUGGCGGCGUGCCUAAUACAUGCAAGUCGAGCGAACGGACGAGAAUCUUGACUCUCUGAUGUUAGCGGCGGACGGGUGAGUAACACGUGGAUAACCUACCUAUAAGACUGGGAUAACUUCGGGAAACCGGAGCUAAUACCGGAUAAUAUCUUGAACCGCAUGGUUCAAAAGUGAAAGACGGUCUUGCUGACACUGAUAGAUGAAUCCGCGCUGCAUUAGCUAGUUGGUAAGGUAACGGCUUACUAAGGCAACGAUGGAUAGCCGACAUGAGAGGGUCGUCGGCUACACUGGAACAGAGACACGGUCCAUACUCCUGCAGGAGGCCGCAGUCGUGAAUCUUCCGCAAUGGGCCAAAGCCUAACGGAGCAAAGCCGCGGAAGUCAUGAAGGUCUUAGGAUGCUACAACUCUGUUAUUUGUGACGAACAUAUCUUUAAGUAGCUGUGCACAUCUUGACGGUACCUAAUCAGAAAGCCACGGCUAACUACGUG